rnacentral:misc_RNA from 1 species
AAAAAUUGUAAAUUUUUAAUACUACUCCUUUCCACGUCAUUUUAGGCCUCCCUAUUUUUCUCUUCCCACUUUCCAUCACUAAUUUAUCACAUUUUUGUGCUAAAACAUUUGAUUAUUUACGGUGGGCAUGACCAAACCAUCUUAAUUGACACUGUUUCAUUUUAUCCUUGAUGUGUUCUACAUGUACUAUCGGGCAAAUGUGGUUAGUCCUGAUCUUAUCCAUUAUCGUAAUACUAGAUAUCAAUCUUAACAUCCACAUCUACCACGCUCAUCUUAUAGAUAUGUUGUACUUUACAUGCCCAACAUUCACUCCUAUACAA